AGUCUGGUGCCAGCAGCCGCGGUAAUUCCAGCUCCAAUAGCGUAUACUUAAGUUGUUGCAGUUAAAAAGCUCGUAGUUGAAAUUCGAAUUAGUCACUGUGCGGCUUGCCGUGCUGUUGGCUGGUUCUCCGUCUAUAAUCUUUUUGCCUUCGAAAGUUGGUAAGAUGCUGAGUAGACAAUUUACCUUGAAAAAAAUUAGAGUGUUUCAGGCAGGUUUUCGCCGGAAUACAUUAGCAUGGAAUAAUGGAAUAGGACUGUGGUCUGUUGUUGGUUUUUGGACCAUUGUAAUGAUUAAUAGGGACAGAUGGGGGCAUUAGUAUUUAAUUGUCAGAGGUGAAAUUCUUGGAUUUAUUAAAGACUAACUUAUGCGAAAGCAUUUGCCAAGGAUGUUUUCAUUAAUCAAGAACGAAAGUUAGGGGAUCAAAGACGAUCAGAUACCGUCGUAGUCUUAACUAUAAACUAUACCGACUCGGGAUCGGAUGGGUAUAAAAUUAGGCCCAUUCGGCACCGUAAGAGAAACCAAAGUCUUUGGGUUCUGGGGGGAGUAUGGUCGCAAGGCUGAAACUUAAAGGAAUUGACGGAAGGGCACCACCAGGAGUGGAGCCUGCGGCUUAAUUUGACUCAACACGGGGAAACUUACCAGGUCAAAACAUGGAUGGGAUUGACAGAUUGAAAGCUCUUUCUUGAUUCUAUGGGUGGUGGUGCAUGGCCGUUCUUAGUUGGUGGAGUGAUUUGUCUGGUUAAUUCCGUUAACGAUCGAGACCUUAACCUGCUAACUAGUUCAUUCUUGAAUAAAGGUGUAACUUCUUAGAGGGACUAUGUACGUCAAGUACAUGGAAGUUUAAGGCAAUAACAGGUCUGUGAUGCCCCUAGACGUCCUGGGCCGCACGCGCGCUACACUGAUACGUUCAGCGAGUUCAUUAACCUGACCCGACAGGGUUCGGGAAAUCUUGUUAGGACGUAUCGUGCUGGGGAUAGAUCUUUGCAAUUAUAGAUCUUGAACGAGGAAUUCCUUGUAAGCACAGGUCAUCAGCCUGUGCUGAAUACGUCCCUGCCCUUUGUACACACCGCCCGUCGCUCCUACCGAUUUCGAGUGAUGUGGUGAACUAUCUGGACUGUGGGGGGGCUCGAACCUCUUGCAGGAAGUUUCGUAAACCUUAUCGCUUAGAGGAAGGAGAAGUCGUAACAAGGUU
rnacentral:rRNA from 1 species